rnacentral:rRNA from 1 species
GGUUUAAUUCGAUGCAGCGCGAAGAACCUUACCUGGGCUUGAACUGCAGGCGUAGUUCGCUUGAAAGAGCGGCGGAAUCCUUCGGGAAGACCUGUAGAGGUUGGCUGGCAUGGCUGUCGUCAGCUCGUGUCGUGAGAUGUUGGGUUAAGUCCCGCAACGAGCGCAACCCUUGCCAUUAGUUGUCCAGCGAGUCAUGUCGGAUACUCUAAUGGGACUGCCGGUGACGAGCCGGAGGAAGGUGGGGAUGACGUCAAGUCAGCAUGGCCUUUAUGUCCAGGGCCACACACGUGCUACAAUGGACGGUACAGAGGGAUGCAAUGCCGCAAGGUGGAGCCAAUCCUCAAAACCGUUCUACAGUUCGGAUUGCAGGCUGCAAUUCGCCUGCAUGAAGCUGGAAUUGCUAGUAAUCGCAGAUCAGCUACGCUGCGGUGAAUACGUUCUCGGGCCUU